rnacentral:rRNA from 1 species
UACGGAGGGGGCAAGCGUUGUUCGGAAUUACUGGGCGUAAAGGGCUCGUAGGUGGCCAACUAAGUCAGACGUGAAAUCCCUCGGCUUAACCGGGGAACUGCGUCUGAUACUGGAUGGCUUGAGUUUGGGAGAGGGAUGCGGAAUUCCAGGUGUAGCGGUGAAAUGCGUAGAUAUCUGGAGGAACACCGGUGGCGAAGGCGGCAUCCUGGACCAACACUGACGCUGAGGAGCGAAAGCCAGGGGAGCAAACGGG